AUGGGGUCUGCCACCAUCCUUGCCCUCCUGCUGGCUGUUCUCCCAGGUGCGUGUGCCCAGGUGCAGCUGGUGCAGUCUGGGGCAGAGGUGAAAAGGCCCGGGGAGUCUCUGAGGAUCUCCUGUAAGACUUCUGGAUACAGCUUUACCAUCUACUGGAUCAGCUGGGUGCGCCAGGCUCCAGGGCAAGGUCUGGAGUGGGUGGGGGCCAUCUAUCCUGGUGACUCAGAUACACGCUACGGCCCGUCCUUCCAAGGCCAUGUCACAAUCUCCACCGAUAACUCGGCCAGCACCGCCUAUCUGCAGUGGAGCAGCCUGAAGUCCUCGGACACAGCCGUGUAUUACUGUGCCAGAGACACAGUGAGGGGAUAGAAGAAGCUUUUG